UAAGGAAUCUUCCACAAUGGACGAAAGUCUGAUGGAGCAACGCCGCGUGCAGGAUGACGGCCUUCGGGUUGUAAACUGCUUUUAUAUGGGAAGAUUGUGACGGUACCAUAUGAAUAAGGACCGGCUAACUACGUGCCAGCAGCCGCGGUAAUACGUAGGGUCCAAGCGUUAUCCGGAAUCACUGGGCGUAAAGCGUGCGUAGGUGGCGUGUUAAGUGAGAUGUGAAACCGUGUGGCUCAACCAUACGUUGUGUCUCAUACUGGCAUGCUAGAGGACGGCAGAGGCAAGUGGAAUUACGAGUGUAGCAGUGAAAUGCGUAGAUAUUCGUAGGAACACCAAUGGCGAAGGCAGCUUGCUGGGCCACUCCUGACACUGAGGUACGAAAGCGUGGGGAGCGAACAGGAUUAGAUACCCCCGUAGUCC
rnacentral:rRNA from 1 species